AACGAACGCUGGCGGCAUGCCUAACACAUGCAAGUCGAACGAGACCUUCGGGUCUAGUGGCGCACGGGUGCGUAACGCGUGGGAACCUGCCUUUAGGUUCGGAAUAACUCAGAGAAAUCUGAGCUAAUACCGGAUGAUGUCUUCGGACCAAAGAUUUAUCGCCUUUAGAUGGGCCCGCGUUGGAUUAGCUAGUUGGUGGGGUAAAGGCCUACCAAGGCGACGAUCCAUAGCUGGUCUGAGAGGAUGAUCAGCCACACUGGGACUGAGACACGGCCCAGACUACUACGGGAGGCAGCAGUGGGGAAUAUUGGAAAAUGGGCGAAAGCAUGAUACAGCAAUGCCGCGUGAGUGAUGAAGGCCUUAGGGUUGUAAAGCUCUUUUACCCGAGAUGAUAAUGACAGUAUCGGGAGAAUAAGCUCCGGCUAACUCCGUG
rnacentral:rRNA from 1 species